rnacentral:piRNA from 1 species
UAUAAUUCAGGAGUGGUACAA